rnacentral:rRNA from 1 species
AUUGAACGCUGGCGGCAGGCUUAACACAUGCAAGUCGAGCGAGCGGCGGACGGGUGAGUAAUGUCUGGGAAACUGCCUGAUGGGGGGGGAUAACUACUGGAAACGGUAGCUAAUACCGCAUACCAUCAGAUGUGCCCAGAGGGGAUUGGCUAGUAGGUGGGGUAAUGGCUCACCUAGGCGACGCUCCCUAGCUGGUCUGAGAGGAUGACCGGCCACACUGGAACUGAGCCACGUUCCAGACUCUUCCGGGAGGUAGCAGUGGGAAAUAUUGCACAAGGGGCGCAUGCCUGAUGCAGCCAUGCCGCGUGUGUGAAGAAGGCCUUCGGGUUGUAAAGCACUUUCAGCGUGGAGGCGUUACUCGCAGAAGAAGCACCGGCUAACUCCGUGCCAGCCGCCGCGGUAAUAC